GUGUGAUAAAGUGGGCAUAUGGUGAGGCACUUAAACAAUGGAAACAGAUUGAGAAUUACUUGGAAGAUGUCCCUCUCUUGAAUCGAUCUUUGACUACCACCUGCCAGACGCAGAGAGCUGGUGAGUGUAUAACCUUGUGUUCGCACCGCUUUGCAAAUCUGUCAAUCCAAUGCCCAGAAAUAUAUAUUUUUUUGCCAUUCAUUAAUAAUCCCUCCUGCCUGGAUCCCAAUGGACUAUGCCCACAAAUAGGAGCCGCUAUACCAGCGGCUUAUGAUGUGGUUUCUGCUGUGAGUUUUUUUUAAAACUUUUUGCUCACUCUGCGGGGAAGAAGUACCCUUUUUGCAAUGAUUUAGAAAUUUUCGAAAAUACAUUUUCAGAAUUCCAUAACAGCACGUACUUCUCGUGAUCUGACUUUAUUUGAAUUUGUGUGCAAAACUCAGUGUACCUUACACUGAUACCCAGUGGCAAUAGAUUUGUGAAUUUUCACACAAUUGUUAAAUUUUUGGUAAAACUCAGAAAUCCUAUACAAAAUGCUGUUCUUAUUGUAGAACACAAACCAGUUCGUGGACUCAAUAGAUGCUAACCAGAAUAACCGCUGCUGAAACUGCUCUGCGGUGCCUGGCAUCUUUCUCCACAUCAAUUGGGACUGUCCAACCACAUGCCUCUUAUGGGACAAUAUUCACAAUAUUUUAAAGCAGUUCUCUGACUCCCCUUGACCUCUGGCCCCAAUGCCCAUGCUUCUCCACAACACUACUACUACCACCAUUUCCCACUAUAAGAACUCACUCAAGGUUCGUGUUUUGAAUGUUGCCAAACCAUUGAUUACCUUUUUCUGGAGACAACAAAUUAAGUUUGGGGUUCACCAAAAUAGAGAAGCUCUGCUUAGCUGAGGAAUCCCCUAUGAGUGUGGAUCAACAAACCUGUCCUGUGUGAAAUCAUUUGAUUGCUGGGAGGAUUCCAGCACCGAGAAGGUAACCCUGUUAUUGCAUCUAUUGUACUGCUAUAAGUAUGAUGAAAAUCAGUAUAUCCAUUCCAUAUAUAUCCAGAUACAGAGGUAAAGGGAAAGUGUCACCAUAGUACACCUCUGCCCGAGUGAUUUUAGCCUAUCCUGUGGGGCUCAGUUAAAUGUGAGUGUACCAAUAUUGAGUAAUAUCCUCUGUAUAGUACUGGAGAUUCUAGACAAUAUUAGUAUUUUUGUCAUUAUAGGACGUUACAACUUACCUAAACUAUAGGGUAAGUGACCACAUUUCUAGCGCUCCACUGUUUCACUGGGGUGGGUGUAUAUACCACACAGUGAAGAUUUUUUGGUUUUACUUGCAGUGAAUGUGAGGGACAUUCAGACAGAGGUAGUAACAGCUCACUUAUACAUUAAAACUUUUCACUGUCUAAGCGCCUGUAACACAAACUCAUCGUUUUUGCAUAUUACAUUUUUUACUGCUGUAGCACAAAACAAUUCAACAUCCAUUAUGUAAUGCAGAGUGUAUAGUGAAAUGUAACAGUGUCUGUGUUUCUGUAAGAAUGCAGUGUGGGUUUUGUAUGCAGUGUGUGCGUGUGUACAGUCGAUGCAGUGUGUGUAGCGGAUUAAGUGUCUAUGUGUAGUGAAUGCAUUUUGUGAAUAGUGGAUGCAAUGUCUGUGUUUGUCUGGUGGAUGCAUUGUAUCUAGGUAGUGCAUGCAGUAUGUGUGUAGAAUGUGUGUUUGUGCAGUGGGUGCAGUGUGUGUGUGUAGUGGAUUCCAUGUUUGUGUAGUGGAUGCAGUGUUUUUGUAGUAAAUACAGUGUGUGUGUGUGUAGUGGAUGCAGUGUGUGUAUUUGUGUAGUCGCUACAUGGUGUGAAUUUGUGUAGUGCAAGCUGUGUGUGUGUAUUUGUGUAGUGGGUGCAGUGUUUGUGUAGUGGAUGCAGUGUGUGUGUAGUGCAUGUAGUGUGUGCAUUUGUAAAGUGAUUGCAGUGUGUGUAGCAGAUGUACUGUGUUUGUAGUGGAUGUAGUGUGUGUGUUUGUGUAGUGGAUGCAGUGUGUGGUGUAGUGUGUGUAUUUGUGCAGUGGAUGCAGUAUUUGUAUAGUGUAUGUAGAAUGUGUGCUUGUGCAGUGUAUGUGUGUAGUGGAUGCUGUGUGUGAAGUGCAUGUAGUGUGGUUUUUUGGUAUUGAGUGUGUGUGUGUGACCUGUUUUUGUUUUGUUUGUUUAACUAAGGUCAUUCCAGUCUCCCUGCCUCUUACCGGUGGUCAAGAAGAGGCGAACACUGGAUUCCCUGGUGGUCCAGUGGUACACCUCGUUGUAUUGUAGUGGGUUGACCCGGGAGUCUUUUUACAUGUCCCGCAGCAUUUACACCUCUCUUCUCGUGAGCUGCGGGUUUCUAUGACAACACUCAGCGCAGCCUUCCCGCAGCAGGCCCACUCUCUAUUAUGUUAAACAGGGCACCGGGAUUUCAUACAUAUGUAGCGAUACUCGCUAUAUCUUUAUGCAAUACGGUGGCCAGGGCUCCUAGCAGCAGGUUAAAAUAUACAUGGGCAGUGGAACCACUCGGGCCAAUGGACGGGCUGAUUCAUACUACAUUGGAACCUGGGAACUCGAACGUUUGAGAACCGAAUCAACAUUUCCCAUAAAAAUUUAUGUAAAUUUGAUUAAUCCGUUCCAGACCCCCAAAAUUACUACAUUCUAACACAAAUUUUACAGUUUAAUAAUGCCUACAUGCAUAAAAUCAUAUAGGAAAAAAAUAAACACAAUGUACAGUAAAUGAAAUGAAAAUAUAAUUUCACUUUACCUGUAAUGAUGAGAGUUGAUGAAGUAAGUGGAAAAGAGAAGAUGUAUUAUUGUUUGGAUGGGGAUAGGUAACUGUUCUUCUGGCAUUUAAAAUGUGUCUAAAGUGUGUCUAAUUGAACAUGAUUUGUUCGGGUACCGAGGAUCGUUCACGUACCGAGACAUUUUUUACCUGAAAUUUUUGUUCGACUUCCGAAGUGUUUGAGAAAGGGACUGUUCGAGUUCUGAAGUUCCACUGUAUAUGCGAAGGUAGUUUUGACUUUCCUGGUUCAAAUGUGCUGUAAGGUGUUUUUUUUUUUUUUUCAUACCAGCAGGUUUCACUCUCAGACAACCACUUCUUGUGAACAAAUAAGUGUAACUGUUGAAGUUUGCAGAUUUAUGUUAUUUUGGUAUCUGAAUGUCUGAGAAGGAAUAGCUUGAGCACAAUAUUGUCAAUAAGAAUAAUAAAUAUAGAAAUGCUUAAUUUCUACCUUAAAAUCUGCAUUAAAAAUAAAGAUAUGCACGAACAAAACCAGUGGUUUCUUUAUUAACCCCUUAAGGACAGAGGUAAUUGUACAAGUUCUGAACCAAAACAAAACUUAGAAUUUUAACUAUAUGUCUGUUCAAUCAUAA